ACGGAGAAGGCUAGGUGGGCCUCGCGACGGUUGUCGAGGUUCAAGUGCGUAGGCAGGGGGAUUAGGCAAAUCCGGUUCCCUAUAUGCUGAGACACGAUGUCGAGCCACUACGGUGGUGAAGUCAUUGAUGCCAUGCUUCCGGGAAAAGCCUCUAAGCUUCAGGUUGUAAGGAAUCGUACCCCAAACCGACACAGGUGGUCGGGUAGAGAAUACCAAGGCG
rnacentral:rRNA from 1 species